rnacentral:rRNA from 1 species
AUAUCAAUAAGCGGAGGAAAAGAAACCAACAGGGAUUGCCUCAGUAACGGCGAGUGAAGCGGCAAGAGCUCAAAUUUGAAAUCUGGCCCCUUUGGGGUCCGAGUUGUAAUUUGGAGAGGAUGCUUCGGGUGCCACCCCUAUCUAAGUGCCCUGGAACGGGCCGUCAUAGAGGGUGAGAAUCCCGUCUGGGAUGGGUGGUGGUUGCCCAUGUGAAGCUCCUUCGAUGAGUCGAGUUGUUUGGGAAUGCAGCUCUAAAUGGGUGGUAAAUUUCAUCUAAAGCUAAAUAUUGGCCGGAGACCGAUAGCGCACAAGUAGAGUGAUCGAAAGAUGAAAAGCACUUUGAAAAGAGAGUGAAACAGCAC